rnacentral:sRNA from 2 species
AUGUACCCCCUUACACUCCGGUUCCUCCGCGCCGUCCGCACCCACCUGACGGCUGCUCGCUACGUUUUGUUAGCC